UCGAUGGGAAACAGGUUAAUAUUCCUGUACUUGGUGUUACUGCGAAGGGGGGACGGAGAAGGCUAUGUUGGCCGGGCGACGGUUGUCCCGGUUUAAGCGUGUAGGCUGGUUUUCCAGGCAAAUCCGGAAAAUCAAGGCUGAGGCGUGAUGACGAGGCACUACGGUGCUGAAGCAACAAAUGCCCUGCUUCCAGGAAAAGCCUCUAAGCAUCAGGUAACAUCAAAUCGUACCCCAAACCGACACAGGUGGUCAGGUAGAGAAUACCAAGGCGCUUGAGAGAACUCGGGUGAAGGAACUAGGCAAAAUGGUGCCGUAACUUCGGGAGAAGGCACGCUGAUAUGUAGGUGAAGUCCCUUGCGGAUGGAGCUGAAAUCAGUCGAAGAUACCAGCUGGCUGCAACUGUUUAUUAAAAACACAGCACUGUGCAAACACGAAAGUGGACGUAUACGGUGUGACGCCUGCCCGGUGCCGGAAGGUUAAUUGAUGGGGUCAGCGCAAGCGAAGCUCUUGAUCGAAGCCCCGGUAAACGGCGGCCGUAACUAUAACGGUCCUAAGGUAGCGAAAUUCCUUGUCGGGUAAGUUCCGACCUGCACGAAUGGCGUAAUGAUGGCCAGGCUGUCUCCACCCGAGACUCAGUGAAAUUGAACUCGCUGUGAAGAUGCAGUGUACCCGCGGCAAGACGGAAAGACCCCGUGAACCUUUACUAUAGCUUGACACUGAACAUUGAGCCUUGAUGUGUAGGAUAGGUGGGAGGCUUUGAAGUGUGGACGCCAGUCUGCAUGGAGCCGGCCUUGAAAUACCACCCUUUAAUGUUUGAUGUUCUAACGUGGACCCGUGAUCCGGGUUGCGGACAGUGUCUGGUGGGUAGUUUGACUGGGGCGGUCUCCUCCUAAAGAGUAACGGAGGAGCACGAAGGUUGGCUAAUCCUGGUCGGACAUCAGGAGGUUAGUGCAAUGGCAUAAGCCAGCUUGACUGCGAGCGUGACGGCGCGAGCAGGUGCGAAAGCAGGUCAUAGUGAUCCGGUGGUUCUGAAUGGAAGGGCCAUCGCUCAACGGAUAAAAGGUACUCCGGGGAUAACAGGCUGAUACCGCCCAAGAGUUCAUAUCGACGGCGGUGUUUGGCACCUCGAUGUCGGCUCAUCACAUCCUGGGGCUGAAGUAGGUCCCAAGGGUAUGGCUGUUCGCCAUUUAAAGUGGUACGCGAGCUGGGUUUAGAACGUCGUGAGACAGUUCGGUCCCUAUCUGCCGUGGGCGCUGGAGAACUGAGGGGGGCUGCUCCUAGUACGAGAGGACCGGAGUGGACGCAUCACUGGUGUUCGGGUUGUCAUGCCAAUGGCACUGCCCGGUAGCUAAAUGCGGAAGAGAUAAGUGCUGAAAGCAUCUAAGCACGAAACUUGCCCCGAGAUGAGUUCUCCCUGACCCUUUAAGGGUCCUGAAGGAACGUUGAAGACGACGACGUUGAUAGGCCGGGUGUGUAAGCGCAGCGAUGCGUUGAGCUAACCGGUACUAAUGAACCGUGAG
rnacentral:rRNA from 1 species